AUUGAACGCUGGCGGCAGGCUUAACACAUGCAAGUCGAGCGGAGCGGCGGACGGGUGAGUAAUGCCUAGGACUCUGCCUGGUCGUGGGGGAUAACGUCCGGAAACGGGCGCUAAUACCGCAUACUAUCAGAUGAGCCUAGGUCGGAUUAGCUAGUUGGUGGGGUAAAGGCCUACCAAGGCGACGGUCCGUAACUGGUCUGUGAGGAUGAUCAGUCAAACUGGAACGGGGACACGGUCCAGACGCCUACGGGAGGCAGCUGUGGGGAAUAUUGGACAAGGGGCGAGAGCCUGAUCCAGCCAUGCCGCGUGUGUGAAUAAGGUCUUCGGAUUGUAAAGCACUUGAAGUUGGGAGGCGUUACCAACAGAAUAAGCACCGGCUAACUUCGUGCGAGCAGCCGCGGUAAUUC
rnacentral:rRNA from 1 species